rnacentral:lncRNA from 1 species
UUUGUUUAUGAUAAUUCAAGCACAUCAAUGAACAAAUAAUUUGAUAAAUUUAAUUUAUUUAUUUAUUACAUUUUUUUAAUAGGCAUGGAAUAACCAAUUAUAAUAAUUAUUAAAAUUUACUGCUUAACCACAGCUAUUUAGCCUAGGUUAAGAGACUGUAACGUUUUUUUUGGUAGUGUAAACUGAAAUUAAGAAAUAAAAGAGCAAUAUAAACAAUAUUAAUUGCUGCUUCAUUUGAUCUCAUCGUCAUCACUUCUUAAUAAAAUUCAAUAAUUGGAUGUCUGCAAACUAGCUCACAAAAUAUUUAAUCAUAAGCAAUAUUUCUUAAAUCUUUUGCUUGUGAAUCUCUCGUUCUUCCUUGAAAAGUGUUUUAACCAUAUAAAAUAACACAUUCACAUUGAUGGCGAAUACACCAAGGAAUCCGAGGAACAACACACAUUUUUUUUGAACAAUCGAAAUCAUUGAUACAUUCAACAAGUGCUAUAAUAAAUAAAGAUAAUAUAAUAGUAUUAGUUAAAGGAGGAAAAAAAGUGUGUACUAAGUAAAUAAGAAAAUAUUAUAUAGAAAAAUGGUUUACCAUGAAUAUUCGUCACAACAAGAAACAUUGAUAGAAAGAGAAUUAUAACAACAACAAACUCCAUUGCUUUAACCAUAUCUUCCUCUUUACAAAUACAAAAAUGAUUUCAUCACUUUAUAAAGUAUAAACAUAAAGCUAUCUUAAAUAAGUUAAAUCGAUUUUAAAACUUAUGAAAGGGUAAAAAGA